CAUGGGUCCGCCAACAGCGCGGCUUGAACCCCGCCAGGCCCGGAAGGGAGCAACGGUAGAGACAAGCGGGUGUGGCGGACCCUCCCAA
rnacentral:SRP_RNA from 1 species